ACUUUUUCAAGGUUGACCUCGGAUCAGGUAGGAAUACCCGCUGAACUUAAGCAUAUCAAUAAGCGGAGGAAAAGAAACCAACAGGGAUUGCCUUAGUAACGGCGAGUGAAGCGGCAACAGCUCAAAUUUGAAAUCUGGCCCCCAGGCCCGAGUUGUAAUUUGUAGAGGAUGCUUCUGGCGACGCGCCUUCCGAGUUCCCUGGAACGGGACGCCAAAGAGGGUGAGAGCCCCGUCCGGUCGUGCGCCUAGCCUCUGUGAAGCUCCUUCGACGAGUCGAGUAGUUUGGGAAUGCUGCUCUAAAUGGGAGGUAUACGUCUUCUAAAGCUAAAUACCGGCCAGAGACCGAUAGCGCACAAGUAGAGUGAUCGAAAGAUGAAAAGCACUUUGAAAAGAGGGUUAAAUAGUACGUGAAAUUGCUGAAAGGGAAGCGCUUAUGACCAGACUUGGGCUUGGUGAAUCAUCCGGCGUUCUCGCCGGUGCACUUUGCCUGUCCAGGCCAGCAUCAGUUCGCUUCGGGGGAUAAAGGUUUCGGGAAUGUAGCUCCCUCGGGAGUGUUAUAGACCGUUGCGUAAUACCCUGGGGUGGACUGAGGUACGCGUU
rnacentral:rRNA from 1 species